UCCCGAAACUCCGCAUGCCCAC
rnacentral:miRNA from 1 species